UCCCUUGUGGCUGAACUGAUAAAGAAUCUGCCUGCAAUGCGGGAGACCUGGGUUUGAUCCCUGGCUUGGGAA
rnacentral:tRNA from 1 species